rnacentral:rRNA from 1 species
CUUCUAGUAUAUAUACUGCAGUUUUCACCUGAUUUCCCACUGAAGCUAAACAGCACUGAGCCUGGUCAAUACCUGGAUGGGAGACCUCCUGGGGAAAACUAAGGUUGCUGUUGGAAGU